AGUGAACGCUGGCGGUAGGCCUAACACAUGCCAGUCGAACGGCAGCACAGUAAGAGCUUGCUCUUACGGGUGGCGGGUGGCGGGCGGGUGAGGAAUACAUCGGACUCUACUUUUUCGUGGGGGUUCACGUAGGGAAACUUACGCUAAUACAGCAUACGCCCUACGGGUGAAAGCAGGGGAUCUUCAGGCCUUGCGCGAUUGAAUGAGCCGAUGUCGGAUUAGCUAGUUGGCGGGGUAAAGGCCCACCAAGGCGACGAUCCGUAGCUGGUCUGAGAGGAUGAUCGGCCACACUGGAACUGAGACACGGCCCAGACUCCUACGGGAGGCAGCAGUGGGGAAUAUUGGACAAUGGGCGCAAGCCUGAUCGAGCCAUGCCGCGUGGGUGAAGAAGGCUUUAGGGUUGUAAAGCCCUUUUGUUGGGAAAGAAAAGCAGCAGGUGAAUAUGCCGCUGUUCUGACGGUACCCAAAGAAUAAGCACCGGCUAACUUCGUG
rnacentral:rRNA from 1 species